UACGGAGGGGGCUAGCGUUGUUCGGAAUUACUGGGCGUAAAGGGCUCGUAGGUGGCCAACUAAGUCAGACGUGAAAUCCCUCAGCUUAACUGGGGAACUGCGUCUGAUACUGGAUGGCUUGAAUUCGGGAGAGGGAUGCAGAAUUCCAGGUGUAGCGGUGAAAUGCGUAGAUAUCUGGAGGAAUACCGGUGGCGAAGGCGGCAUCCUGGACCGACAUUGACGCUGAACGGCGAAAGCUAGGGGAGCAAACGGG
rnacentral:rRNA from 1 species